rnacentral:rRNA from 1 species
AUUGAACGCUGGCGGCAGGCCUAACACAUGCAAGUCGAACGAGUGGCGGACGGGUGAGUAAUGUCUGGGAAACUGCCUGAUGGAGGGGGAUAACUACUGGCAACGGUAGCUAAUACCGCAUACCAUCGGAUGUGCCCAGAUGGGAUUAGCUAGUAGGUGGGGUAAAGGCUCACCUAGGCGACGCUCCCUAGCUGGUCUGAGAGGAUGACCAGCAACAAGGGAACGGAGACACGGUCAAGACGCCUACGGGAGGCAGCAGGGGGGAAUAUUGCACAAUGGGCGCAAGCCUGAUGCAGCCAUGCCGCGUGUGUGAAGAAGGCCUUCGGGGUGUAAAGCACUUUCAGCGGGGAGGCGUUACCCGCAGAAGAAGCACCGGCUAACUCCGUGCCAGCAGCCGCGGUAAUAC